rnacentral:misc_RNA from 1 species
CAACAUUAUUAAGCAAGGAGAAUUUAUUGGCUCUUGGUGGUUCCUACCAUAUUUUGGGGACCCAGGUCCAUCCACCACAGAAACAGCUAAUGAAGACUUUUUCGUUAAAUAAGAAUAUAGGUCAUCUACCACAACCAUAUCUCCAUUGACAAGCAUGAGAAAAUGCACCCAACAAAAGGAAAACAACUAUAAUUCAAUAUUUUGUUACUGGAGCAAGUUUUCCAGGGAAUAGAACUGAAGAAAAUACUUCUUGAAAUCUUGAAAUGUUCCACAUUUCCUGCAAUAAGACAAAUUAUAGUUUUAAUACAAAAAUAUAUCUCUACAAACCUCUAGGAUAAAUGGAUCUGUAAAGGGCAAAAAAAGAGAGAAGCGAGUCAUGCUCAUCCACUUCAUUUUCUUCACCCUUGAGACAGAGAGAACAGAGCCAGAUAUUGUCAAAAAACACUAAAAAGUCCUGGAAAGUCUAGCUAACUUAUCACUGCUGAGGGCCAAAAGUGACAAUAAUGAAAUAAGUGACAAUGCUCAAGGUAUUACAGUAACAAGCUUUGCCAUCAAAGCAAGUGGUAAACUGGUCAGAUGGCCAUCUACACAACUAGGUAUCCCUCACUGAUGCAUUUGUACAGGGAAACAGACAGAUUGAAGAUAAACAUACAGUUAGCUCCCCAGCAAAAAUGUAUAAAACACAUGCAAGGGGAACAAUAUAAACAGAAUCCAUACAAGAGGGGAUUGACAGUUAUGCAGAAAGAGAAUGAGGAAGAACAAGCUACCAUAAGUUUGUAGCUGUUAUCUCAAGCAGCACUGGCAGUCGUUUUCCCAAUAGUCUUGAGGUCAAAGAUUUCAAUCCAAUAGCCAUCAGGAUCCUUAAUGAAAGCUAUUCCUUUCAUUUUUCCAUCAUCAGGUUUUUUUGCGAACUCCACCCCUAGAUGUUCAAAUCUCUCACAUGCCUUGUACACAUCAUCCACAGUAAUACCAAUAUGUCCAAAGCCACGAGGUUCUGAAUUUCCAUUGUGAUAUCCUUUGAAGUCAGGAUCACUUUCAGUACCCCAAUUAUGAGUUAAUUCAAUUGUAGCCUUCUGACCAAAGGUCCAAACUGUUCUUUCAACUGGGUCACUUGGAGCUGAUGCUGGAUCCUCAUAGCCCAUAAAGUACAAGCUAAACUUCAUGUCUGGCAAAUCCAACCUCUUAAGCAACGACAUGCCCAAUACGCGAGAAUAAAAAUCGAGACUUAUUUUUGGAUCCUUAAUUCGAUACAUGGUUUGUUGCAUGAAGUAUCCUUUGGUGGCUUCAUCGAGGGUAGUGUGGAGACCAGGAUUAUUGGCUGGCGAUUCCUUCGGCUCCGAGGCCAUUGAAAACAAUCUUAAUCGAUUUGGGUUCUUUGCGCUGGAAUGGUGAAGAAACGAUGGAAUUGAAGAUGAUUUAUUAAUGGCUAACCGAAAGGGAGCGAGGCGAGAUAAGGAAGUCGCUAGAGAAGAAGUAGCCAUUGAAGUGUAGC